UUCCGGUUGAUCCCGCCGGACCCUACUGCUAUCGGGGUGGGACUAAGACAUGCAAGUCGUGCGUCUCUAGGCUAUGGUAGAGACGCGGCAUACGGCUCAGUAACACGUGGCUAACCUACCCUUAGGACGGGGACAACCCCGGGAAACUGGGGCUAAUACCCGAUAGGUGAGGAGGCCUGGAAUGGUUCCUCACCCAAAAGGGGUUGAAACCACGCUUUUCAACGUCGCCUAAGGAUGGGGCCGCGCCCGAUCAGGUUGUUGGUGAGGUAACGGCUCACCAAGCCUAUAACCGGUACGGGCCGUGAGAGCGGGAGCCCGGAGAUGGGCACUGAGACAAGGGCCCAGGCCCUACGGGGCGCAGCAGUCGCGAAAACUCCGCAAUGCGCGAAAGCGUGACGGGGCUACCCCGAGUGCCGUCCGCUGAGGAUGGCUUUUCCCCGGUGUAAUGAGCCGGGGGAAUAAGGAGAGGGCAAGUCUGGUGUCAGCCGCCGCGGUAAUACCAGCUCUCCGAGUGGUAGGGACGAUUAUUGGGCUUAAAGCGUCCGUAGCCGGCCUAGCAAGUCUCCUGUUAAAUUCAGCGACCUAAUCGUUGAGCCGCGGGAGAUACUACUAGGCUAGGAGGCGGGAGAGGCCGACGGUAUUCCCGGGGUAGGGGUGAAAUCCUAUAAUCCCGGGAGGACCACCAGUGGCGAAGGCUGUCGGCUAGAACGCGCUCGACGGUGAGGGACGAAAGCUGGGGGAGCGAACCGGAUUAGAUACCCGGGUAGUCCCAGCCGUAAACGAUGCGGGCUAGGUGUUGGAGUGGCUACGAGCCACUUCAGUGCCGCAGGGAAGCCAUUAAGCCCGCCGCCUGGGGAGUACGGCCGCAAGGCUGAAACUUAAAGGAAUUGGCGGGGGAGCACCACAAGGCGUGAAGCUUGCGGUUCAAUUGGAGUCAACGCCGG
rnacentral:rRNA from 1 species